rnacentral:rRNA from 1 species
CCUACGGGAGGCAGCAGUGGGGAAUCUUAGACAAUGGGGGAAACCCUGAUCUAGCCAUGCCGCGUGAUCGAUGAAGGCCUUAGGGUUGUAAAGAUCUUUCAGAUGGGAAGAUAAUGACGGUACCAUCAGAAGAAGCCCCGGCUAACUCCGUGCCAGCAGCCGCGGUAAUACGGAGGGGGCUAGCGUUAUUCGGAAUUACUGGGCGUAAAGCGCACGUAGGCGGAUCAGAAAGUCAGAGGUGAAAUCCCAGGGCUCAACCUUGGAACUGCCUUUGAAACUCCUGGUCUUGAGGUCGAGAGAGGUGAGUGGAAUUCCGAGUGUAGAGGUGAAAUUCGUAGAUAUUCGGAGGAACNCCAGUGGCGAAGGCGGCUC